rnacentral:ncRNA from 2 species
AAUAAAUAUAGCGCCGAUUUGAGCAAGCAGCUUGCGGGCGCUUUACAAAUGCAGCUAAAGCGCGGGGCCCGCCCCUC